GAUGAACGCUGGCGGCGUGCCUAAUACAUGCAAGUCGAGCGAACGGACGAGAAGCUUGCUUCUCUGAUGUUAGCGGCGGACGGGUGAGUAACACGUGGAUAACCUACCUAUAAGACUGGGAUAACUUCGGGAAACCGGAGCUAAUACCGGAUAAUAUUUUGAACCGCAUGGUUCAAAAGUAAAAGACGGUCUUGCUGUCACUUAUAGAUGGAUCCGCGCUGCAUUAGCUAGUUGGUAAGGUAACGGCUUACCAAGGCAACGAUGCAUAGCCGACCUGAGAGGGUGAUCGGCCACACUGGAACUGAGACACGGUCCAGACUCCUACGGGAGGCAGCAGUAGGGAAUCUUCCGCAAUGGGCGAAAGCCUGACGGAGCAACGCCGCGUGAGUGAUGAAGGUCUUCGGAUCGUAAAACUCUGCUAUUAGGGAAGAACAUAUGUGUAAGUACUGUGCACAUCUUGACGGUACCUAAUCAGAAAGCCACGGCUAACUACGUG
rnacentral:rRNA from 1 species